GAACGCACAUUGCGCCCUGUGGUAUUCCGCAGGGCAUGCCUGUUCGAGCGUCAUUUCAACCCUCAAGCUCUGCUUGGUGUUGGGCCCUGCCCGCUGCGGCCGGCCCUAAAGACAGUGGCGGUGCCGCCUGGCCCUGAGCGUAGUACAUCUCUCGCUCCAGUGCCCGGUGGUAGCCUGCCAGAACCCCAACUCUCGUGGUUGACCUCGGAUCAGGUAGGGAUACCCGCUGAAUUUA
rnacentral:misc_RNA from 1 species